UUUGCGUCUAUUGUACUCCAUCCAAAAGCUCCUACAUAUACACGCAUUUAUACUUUGUGAUAUAUAACAACAACACCAACAUGUCUAGCACGGCCGACGUCGUGCUGCUAACAACUGCAACUCCAUUACCUUGCAAGCCGUUUUCACUCAGUCCGUUGCGUUUGAUCGAUAGAGCCGUGUUUUUAUGGCGUACAAUUUCGUUUUGAGAUUUUGAAAUCUUUUCAAAAACGAAUACAAGUGAAUGUUUAAUUUUUUUAGGCAGCUAAAAUUUCAGUUUUUCUUAUUUAUGCCAGUUGUAAAGAGCGUCGUGAAACUACGGUCUAAUUUUGCAGUUGUGUUUGAUUAGAAUUAAAACGAAAUUCACAAAUAACACUUUUUAAUUUCAAAUUUAAAUUCUACAUAUAUUCGUUGGUUAUAAAAUAAAGUAAAAGAGUUUGUUGUUGUCAUUGAAAGAAAGCGACAAAUCCGGCAUUUUUUUAGUCGAAUUCAAGCUUGUGUUCGACAUGUCUUCGAUUGAAUCCAAACGAGUGCAGUACCGCAAGUACUUGGAGCGCGCCGGUGUUAUAGACGCACUCAGCAAGGCGCUGAUUAAACUCUAUGAAGAACAGAAUAAACCAGAUGAUGCCAUACGCUUUGUGCGUAAAUUUAUGUGUGAGUCUUGCCCGGAUGAUGAUCAGUUCGACAUGAUGAAAGCUGAUCUCGAUGAAGCCAAUAAGACUAUAGCACGGCUGGAGCAAGAAUUGGAACGUUUGCGCAGUCAAAUCAAGAAGACACCCGAGGAGAUCGCUGAGUUACUGGAGGAGGGCUUCAAGAGUCUGACGGAGGAUGAAGAGUACAAUAGCUCACUGCUACGCAAAUAUUUGACGCGUGAAGUGUUGGACGAGUAUAUGAUGACGACAACUGCAGCGCCCACUGAAGCCAAUCUUUUCGAUUGUAUACAAUCGGGUACAACACAUCACGACUCCAGUUGUGGCGUUUAUGCUGCUGAUGCCGAAUCGUAUGAUGUCUUCACCAAACUCUUCGAUCCGGUUAUACGCGACUAUCACGGUCAAUUGGAAAAUGAGAGCGAUAUACUGCAAAAGGAAACCGAUUGGGGUAAUGUAGAUGAGAUUGAAAACUUGGAUCCGGAGCGCAAAUAUAUACUGUCGGCAAGAAUUCGCACAGCGCGCAAUCUGGAAGGCUAUCCGUAUUUCCCGAAAUUGCGUGAGAAACAGUAUAUUGAAAUAGAGGAGAAAGUGCGUUCAGCCGCUGAGGGUUUGGAUGGUGAGCUAACUGGCGCUUACUACAGCAUGGGCGAGAUCGAGCCAGAUAUUCAACGUGAAAUGGUCGCACGCCAUAUACUGUUCAAACGUGGCGAUGAAUACUUAACCACUGCAGGUUGUUAUCGUUUUUGGCCUACCGGCCGUGGUAUAUUCCAUAAUCCGGCUGAAACAUUUUUAAUUUGGGUUAAUGAGGAGGAUCAUUUGCGUAUAAUAUCGAUGGCCAAGUGCGGUGAUUUAGGCGACGUCUAUAAUCGUUUGGUUACGGGCAUAACCGAAUUGGAGAAGUCACUGCAAUUUGCGCGUCAUCCGCGCUACGGCAACUUGACAGCCUGCCCCACUAAUCUUGGCACUACGCUUCGCGCUUCGGUACAUAUUCGCUUGCCAUUGCUGUCCGCGCAGGAGGAUAAGCUCAAGGCCAUGGCGGAUGAGUUGAGUUUGCAAAUACGUGGCACAGGUGGUGAGCAUACACAAAUAGAGGAUGGUGUUAUGGAUAUAUCGAAUAGACGUCGCUUGGGGUUUAGCGAAUUUGAAUUGGUCAAAUCGCUACAGGAGGGCAUAGUCGCAUUGAUUGCCGCUGAAGAGGAGCUUGAAGCUGGCGGUGGUGAGGAUUAAGCGCAUUAAAACACUCUAUGAGUUUUUAAAACGUCUAUGAGUCUGCUGACAAAAUUUGAACUAUAUUUCUGCAGCAACAACAGCAACGUAAUAUUUUCUGUUAUCCAUUCAAGUUUUAACUAUGACUGAAUUCGUGAAACUCGCACUAAUAAACUCUGAAAUCACUUGUUUCUCAUAGUGAAGAUA
rnacentral:misc_RNA from 1 species